rnacentral:precursor_RNA from 1 species
AAGGGCAUUCGGAUGAAUUCGUAAAGGCCAAGUGGGGUUACAAUAGUCGUUUUGGGUAUGUCAUUUUCGGCCAUCGGUAUUUGUUGUAUGCCUU